CCUACGGGAGGCAGCAGUGAGGAAUAUUGGUCAAUGGACGAGAGUCUGAACCAGCCAAGUAGCGUGAAGGAUGACUGCCCUAUGGGUUGUAAACUUCUUUUAUAUGGGAAUAAAAUGUUCCACGUGUGGGAUUCUGUAUGUACCAUAUGAAUAAGGAUCGGCUAACUCCGUGCCAGCAGCCGCGGUAAUACGGAGGAUCCGAGCGUUAUCCGGAUUUAUUGGGUUUAAAGGGAGCGUAGAUGGAUUGUUAAGUCAGUUGUGAAAGUUUGCGGCUCAACCGUAAAAUUGCAGUUGAAACUGGCAGUCUUGAGUACAGUAGAGGUGGGCGGAAUUCGUGGUGUAGCGGUCAAAUGCUUAGAUAUCACGAAGAACUCCGAUUGCGAAGGCAGCUCACUGGACUGCAACUGACACUGAGGCUCGAAAGUGUGGGUAUCAAACAGGAUUAGAUACCCCUGUAGUC
rnacentral:rRNA from 1 species